rnacentral:rRNA from 1 species
UCUGGNUCAACUGGGGGCGUGCGGUGGGUACGGGCUGGCUUGAGUGCGGUAGGGGAGGCUGGAACUCCUGGUGUAGCGGUGGAAUGCGCAGAUAUCAGGAAGANCACCGGUGGCGAAGGCGGGCCUNUGGGCCGUUACUGACGCUGAGGAGCGAAAGCGUGGGGAGCGAACAGGAUUAGAUACCCUGGUAGUNCACGCUGUAAACGUUGGGCACUAGGUGUGGGGGCCACCCGUGGUUCCCGCGCCGUAGCUAACGCUUUAAGUGCCCCGCCUGGGGAGUACGGUCGCAAGGCUAAAACUCAAAGGAAUUGACGGGGGCCCGCACAAGCGGCGGAGCAUGCGGAUUAAUUCGAUGCAACGCGAAGAACCUUACCAAGGCUUGACAUGCGCCCCGGGCGCGCGGAGACGCGCGCGCAUUUGGUUGGGGGUGUGCAGGUGGUGCAUGGUUGUCGUCAGCUCGUGUCGUGAGAUGUUGGGUUAAGUCCCGCAACGAGCGCAACCCUUGCCCUAUGUUGCCAGCGCGUUGUGGCGGGGACUCGUGGGGGACUGCCGGGGUUAACUCGGAGGAAGGUGGGGAUGACGUCAAAUCAUCAUGCCCCUUAUGUCUUGGGCUUCACGCAUGCUACAAUGGCCGGUACAGAGGGUUGCGAUGCCGUGAGGCGGGGCGAAUCCCUUAAAGCCGGUCUCAGUUCGGAUUGGGGUCUGCAACUCGACCCCAUGAAGGUGGAGUCGCUAGUAAUCGCAGAUCAGCAACGCUGCGGUGAAUACGUUCUCGGGCCUUGUACACACCGCACGUCACGUCACGAAAGUUGGUAACGCCCGAAGCCCAUGGCCCAACCGGCUCUUGCUGGGGGGAGUGGUCGAAGGUGGGAUC